rnacentral:rRNA from 1 species
UUGUAGUCCUGAUGAUGAGGAGUCGGACCUGCCCGGUGAAAUUUUUUAACGGCCGCGGUACUCUGACCGUGCAAAGGUAGCAUAAUCAUUUGCCUUAUAAUUGAAGGCUGGUAUGAAUGGUUUGACGAGAAUAUAACUGUCUCUUUACAAUUUGAUAGAAUUUUAUAUUUAGGUGAAAAAGCCUUAAUUUAAUUAAAAGACAAGAAGACCCUAUCGAGCUUAAGAGAAAUUAGCAGAUGUAUAGAUUUUUGGUUAAAAAAUAUAACUGUUAAAUAUUUUUGGUUGGGGCGACUGAGGAACAUGAGAAGCUUCCUUUUAUAAUCUUUUAUAUACGAAUUAUUGAUCCACAGUUAGUGAUUAAAGGAAUUAGUUACCGUAGGGAUAACAGCAUAAUCUUUUUUGAGAGUUCUUAUCGAAAAAAGGGUUUGUGACCUCGAUGUUGGACCAGAAUAUCCUAAAGAUGUAGAAGUCUUUAAGGGUUGGUCUGUUCGACCAUUAAAAUUCUA